rnacentral:rRNA from 1 species
CCUACGGGUGGCUGCAGUGGGGAAUAUUGGGCAAUGGGCGCAAGCCUGACCCAGCAACGCCGCGUGAAGGAAGAAGGCUUUCGGGUUGUAAACUUCUUUUCUCAGGGACGAAGCAAGUGACGGUACCUGAGGAAUAAGCCACGGCUAACUACGUGCCAGCAGCCGCGGUAAUACGUAGGUGGCAAGCGUUAUCCGGAUUUACUGGGUGUAAAGGGCGUGUAGGCGGGACUGCAAGUCAGAUGUGAAAACCAUGGGCUCAACCUAUGGCCUGCAUUUGAAACUGUAGUUCUUGAGUACUGGAGAGGCAGACGGAAUUCCUAGUGUAGCGGUGAAAUGCGUAGAUAUUAGGAGGAACACCAGUGGCGAAGGCGGUCUGCUGGACUGUGACUGACGUUGAGGCCCGAAGGCGUGGGGAGCAAACAGGAUUAGAUACCCCUGUAGUC